UCCAGACUCCUACGGGAGGCAGCAGUAGGGAAUUUUGCGCAAUGGGGGAAACCCUGACGCAGCAACACCGCGUGAAUGUUAAGCCCUUCGGGGUGUAAAGUUCUGUCAAUAGGGACGAAUUUUGACUGUACCUAUAAAGGAAGCCCCGGCUAACUACGUGCCAGCAGCCGCGGUAAUACGUAGGGGGCAAGCGUUAUCCGGAUUUACUGGGUGUAAAGGAAGCGUAGACGGCAGAGCAAGUCUGAAGUGAAAGCCCGCGGCCCAACUGCGGGACUGCUUUGGAAACUGCCCGGCUAGAGUGCUGGAGAGGUAAGUGGAAUUCCUAGUGUAGCGGUGAAAUGCGUAGAUAUUAGGAGGAACACCAGUGGCGAAGGCGGCUUACUGGACUGUAACUGACGUUGAGGCUCGAAAGCGUGGGGAGCAAACAGGAUUAGAUACCCGUGUAA
rnacentral:rRNA from 1 species